GAUGAACGCUGGCGGCGUGCUUAACACAUGCAAGUCGAACGGAAAGGCCCAAGCUUGCUUGGGUACUCGAGUGGCGAACGGGUGAGUAACACGUGGGUGAUCUGCCCUGCACUUCGGGAUAAGCCUGGGAAACUGGGUCUAAUACCGGAUAGGACCACUUCUUGGAUGUUGUGGUGGAAAGUUUUUUCGGUGUGGGAUGAGCUCGCGGCCUAUCAGCUUGUUGGUGGGGUAAUGGCCUACCAAGGCGUCGACGGGUAGCCGGCCUGAGAGGGUGUACGGCCACAUUGGGACUGAGAGACGGCCCAGACUCCGACGGGAGGCAGCAGUGGGGAAUAUUGCACAAUGGGCGCCAGCCUGAUGCAGCGACGCCGCGUGGGGGAUGACGGCCUUCGGGUUGUAAACUCCUUUCGCUAGGGACGAAGCGUUUUGUGACGGUACCUGGAGAAGAAGCACCGGCUAACUACGUG
rnacentral:rRNA from 1 species